GGCUGCGCGCAGAACUGGCGGAUAACGUGGAAAACCACGGGGGACUGCGCACGAUUGCUGCCUUUUGCCGACCGCCUGGGCAACGUCU
rnacentral:ncRNA from 2 species